CCAGUAGGCGGCCGACUAAGUCAGACGUGAAAUCCCUUGGCUUAACCAAGGAACUGCGUCUGAUACUGGUUGGCUUGAAUUCGGGAGAGGGAUGCGGAAUUCCAGGUGUAGCGGUGAAAUGCGUAGAUAUCUGGAGGAAUACCGGUGGCGAAGGCGGCAUCCUGGACCGACAUUGACGCUGAACGGCGAAAGCUAGGGGAGCAAACGGGAUUAGAUACCCCGGUAGUCCUAGCCCUAAACGAUGAAUGCUUGGUGUGGCGGGUAUCGAUCCCUGCCGUGCCGGAGCUAACGCGGUAAGCAUUCCGCCUGGGGAGUACGGUCGCAAGGCUGAA
rnacentral:rRNA from 1 species